rnacentral:lncRNA from 1 species
AGAGAGAGAGAGAGAGAGAGAGAGAGAGAGAGAGGAGGAGGAGGAGUGGUAGAUUGCUCGCCUCCUCUCUUGAGGAGAAAGCACGGGGACAAAGUGGGGAGGCCGAGGCUUCUUUACCGAUGUUGAAGAAGCCUGGUUUGCGUGAAGGGGCUUAGGCCAUGAGCGUUUUUUUAUAUUUAUCCGCUUGCCGGAUGGAGCCGUUAAUAAGUUUGCUUACAUCUUCAGCAGCGGGUUAAUAGGGGACUCACUGCCAAAUUCCCUUGUGACUCAACACUGUGACCCAUGGUGAGUUUGCACUGCCAACUCAGAACCCAUGGGUAAAUCAGAUCGAUAAGGACCCCUCAUUGUUUUUUUUUUUUUGAUACG